CCCACUAAGUUUAAGCAUAUCAAUAAGCGGAGGAAAAUAAACUUACAAGGAUUCCCUUAGUAACGGGGAGCUAAUCGGGAACAACACAUCCUUAGAAUCGGGCGGCUCCAUCGUCCGAAUUGUAUUAUGGAGAAGCGUCCUCAGCGGAGGAUCGGGCCCAUGUCCCCUGGAAGGGGACGCCAGAGAGGGUGACAGCUCCGUUGUCCUUGGACCCUGCCACACGACGAGGCGCUGUCUACGAGUAGGCCUGUUUGGGAAUGUAACCCAAAACAGGCGGUGAAUUUCGUCCUAGGCUAAAUACAGGAGAGACACCGAUAACUAACACGUACCACGAGG
rnacentral:rRNA from 1 species